GGGGGGUACUUCCGCUAAAAGGCGCCCUGCCGCCAGCACUUGGCAUACGGGGUGGUGGCUGAAAGAAAUGAGCUAAUUCCGGGGGACCCUCCUUGUAAGGAAGGUGGCCCGACUUGUUCCCGUGCAUGUCGUGGGACUGUUUCCGAACACCGUGCGGUGGCUAAUAUCCACCCUGAGCCAGAAACUACUUGGAGAGACUACGAUCGGGUGUACCUGCUCUCGUGCGGACUCCGUCAUUCUAAGGUCAGCUGCAGCACCAGGAUGUGUAAUGAUGAAUUUACAAGUGGACUGUGUCUGCGUUUCCUCUGAAGACAAGACUUGAAUACUAAAGUACUAAGCAACUCUAGAAUGAAGAGCCUCAACAGCAGUUUGACAAGAAAGUUGUAGGCCCGGAUGUGUUUGGUGGAAUUUAAAAGAAGACCCUUCUUCCAAAGAUUUUUUUGUGCUGAGAAUGCUUCAUGGUGUUCAGUCUGCUGGAGCCUGCUGGUGGAGUUUGAUAUUGCUGCCUGCCUUUGGCCAGUAGAACAGUGAACGCCAGGCCUCACCCAGUGCUAACUCAGGCAGUUGCUGGCAUAAACAUUUUGAUACAUUUGCCUUCAAGCUUGGGUCUUUCUCCUUCUGACAAUGAUUGUACAAUCCCUGACUCCAUUUGCUUCUGGAUGUAAGAUAUUUGACAAAGUAAGAGAAGUCUGUUAAGCAUUUUUGUCUCUAGGUCUAAAAAUUGGUCAUUUUGCCAGAUUGGACUGCUUUUGUUUGAAAAAGAAAGGGGGUGGGGGGGGCGGAGAUUGUGGGUUAUAGCAAGUGUCUGUCUUUUACUUCCCUAAUAAAUGAAUUUUCAGUUGGA